rnacentral:lncRNA from 1 species
GUGAAUUUUUAUUAAUAAGACUAUGAGGCAAAGUGGUAUAUAUGGUAGCAAAAUCAAAAGCACCAAUUAUAAGCAUGCAAUUUAUCAAGUACUUCGAACGAAUUUUGACACUCCAAAAGCAAUUUAUUCCACUACUUUCAAAGGCCUUAUUUGAAUUUUUUUUUAUCAGCUGAGGUUUUUGAUUGUACGAAGUGUACUGGUAAGUAGAAUACAUAGUUUAGAAGGGAA